rnacentral:rRNA from 1 species
GACGAAGGGGGCUAGCGUUGUUCGGAAUUACUGGGCGUAAAGCGAGUGUAGGCGGUUGCCCAAGUCAGGUGUGAAAGCCUUGAGCUCAACUCAAGAAAUGCACUUGGUACUGGGUGGCUAGAGGACCGGAGAGGAUAGUGGAAUUCCCAGUGUAGUGGUGAAAUACGUAGAGAUUGGGAAGAACACCAGUGGCGAAGGCGGCUAUCUGGACGGUUACUGACGCUAAGACUCGAAAGCGUGGGGAG